UAGGGAAUCUUCGGCAAUGGACGAAAGUCUGACCGAGCAACGCCGCGUGAGUGAAGAAGGCUUUCGGAUCGUAAAACUCUGUUGUUAGAGAAGAACAAGGACGUUAGUAACUGAACGUCCCCUGACGGUAUCUAACCAGAAAGCCACGGCUAACUACGUGCCAGCAGCCGCGGUAAUACGUAGGUGGCAAGCGUUGUCCGGAUUUAUUGGGCGUAAAGCGAGCGCAGGCGGUUUCUUAAGUCUGAUGUGAAAGCCCCCGGCUCAACCGGGGAGGGUCAUUGGAAACUGGGAGACUUGGGUGCAGAAGAAGAGAGUGGAAUUCCAUGUGUAGCGGUGAAAUGCGUAGAUAUAUGGGGGAACACCAGUGGCGAAGGCGGCUCUCUGGUCUGUAACUGACGCUGAGGCUCGAAAGCGUGGGGAGCAAACAGG
rnacentral:rRNA from 1 species